rnacentral:sRNA from 1 species
AUGUCACAUGCACUGGCUGUGCUAGCUUCCACCUGGGCUCCAACUGCCAGACGCCCCCAGAGCUUCACACAAGCUAUCGCUGACUGCCAGUGCAUGUUGGAAAUGGGCCACAGGGCUGGGCAUGAUAUGAGCUGCCUGGACAUUGGAGGGGGCUUCCCCAGAAUGAAGGGCUCCAGGCCCAAGUUUGAGGAGUUGGUGAGAGUGAUCAGUGCUGCCCUGGCCCAGGACCUCCCUGAGGAGCGUGGUGUCAAGGUCAUCGCAGAGCCUGGCUGCUUCUAUGUGGAGUCUGUCUGCACGGCCGUUGUCAACAUCAGUGCCAAGAGGGCUGUGCUGGAGCCCGGAGGCAGCCAGAAGCUGAUGUAUUAUCUCAACAAUGGCCACUAUGGCUCCUUCCGCCUCUGCCACCGAGAGCCUGUCCCAAGGGUUUCCAUCGUGGUGAAGGUAAGGGGGCCACUCCAGCCCCAAGUCUAUUCCCUUACCUUGAGGUGCCUUGUGCCUCCCCCACUGGGAACAGUGGCUGUGCUGGACCCCAGAGGCAGGUCCUGGCCUGCUGCUUAGAGCACACGUGGACACGUACAUGAUGUGUGCUCACAGAUCAAAGCAUGUGCAGCAGCUGGAUAUGUGGGCCUCCUCAGGCAAAGGGGCGAUCACCAGAACACAAAGGCGUGGGCUGUUUUCCAAAAUAUUGAAGUUCUUCUCCCUGGUGGCUUAAGAGCCAUUCCUUCUCCCUAGUGGUUAAAGAGCUAUUCCCCCGAGUCCACCAGGGGCCUCCCUGCCGACACCCUUGCUGCUCAGUCCCUCCCAUGAUCUGGCAACAAAGCUUCAAUACCUGACCCUGUAGGGC